rnacentral:rRNA from 1 species
UAACCUGCCCAAGAGAUCGGGAUAACACCUGGAAACAGAUGCUAAUACCGGAUAACAACAGAUGAUGCCUAUCAACUGUUUAAAAGAUGGUUCUGCUAUCACUCUUGGAUGGACCUGCGGUGCAUUAGCUAGUUGGUAGGGUAACGGCCUACCAAGGCGAUGAUGCAUAGCCAAGUUGAGAGACUGAUCGGCCACAUUGGGACUGAGACACGGCCCAAACUCCUACGGGAGGCAGCAGUC